rnacentral:lncRNA from 1 species
AUGGGGGACUUCAACCACCUCGAUAUCUGCUGGAAAGACAACACAGCCAGGCACAAACAGUCCUGGAGGUUCCUGCAGAGCAUUGGUGGCAACUUCUUGACACAGGUGGUGGAGGAGCCAACGAGGAAAGGUGUGCUGCUGGACCUCAUACUAACAAACAAAGAAGGACUGGUGGAAGAUGUGAAGGUCGGGGGCAGCCUUGGCUGCAGUGACCAUGAGAUCGUGGAGUUCAGGAUCCUGCGAGGAGGCAGCAGGGCACCAAGUAGGAUUGCAACCCUGGACUUCAGGAGAGCAAACUUUGGCCUCUUCAGGGACCUACUUGGAGGAAUCCCAUGGGUUAUGGCCCUAGAAGGAAGGGGUGUUCAAGAGAGCUGGUUAAUAUUCAAACAUCACCUCCUCCAGGCUCAAGAGCGGUGCAUCCCUAUGAGUAGGAAGUCAAGCAAAGGAGGCAGGAGACCUGCAUGGAUGAGCAAGGAGCUCCUGGCAAAACUCAAGCAGAAGAAGGAAGUCUACAGAAAGUGGAAAGGGGGACAGGCCACUUGGGAGGAUUAUAGGAACGUUGUCAGAGUAUGCAGGGAUGUGACGAGGAAGGCUAAGGCCCGUUUGGAAUUAAAUCUGGCAAGGGAUGUCAAGGACAGCAAGAAGGGCGUUUUCAAAUACAUCAGUAGCAAGAGGAAGACUAGGGAAAAUGUGGGCCCUUUGCUGAAUGGGGUGGGUGCCCUGGUGACGAAGGAUGCAGAGAAGGCAGAGUUACUGAAUGCCUUCUUUGCUUCAGUCUUUACUGCUCAGGCCAGCCCUCAGGAACCCCAGACCCUUGAGGCAAGAGAGAAAGUCUGGAGGAAGGAAGACUUUCCCUUGGUGGAGGAGGAUCGGGUUAGAGCUCAUUUAAGCAAACUUGACACCCACAAAUCCAUGGGCCCUGAUGGGAUGCACCCACGAGUGCUGAGGGAGCUGGCGGACAUUAUUGCUAAGCCACUCUCCAUCAUCUUUGAAAGGUCAUGGAGGACAGGAGAGGUGCCUGAGGACUGGAAGAAAGCCAAUGUCACCCCAGUCUUCAAAAGGGCAAGAAGGAGGACCCAGGGAACUACAGGCCAGUCAGCCUCACCUCCAUCCCUGGAAAGGUGA